UACGGGGGGAGCAAGCGUUGUUCGGAUUUACUGGGCGGAAAGGGCGCGUAGGCGGCCACUGCAAGUCAGUUGUGAAAUCUCCGGGCUUAACCCGGAAAGGUCAACUGAUACUGCAGGGCUAGAGUGCAGAAGGGGCAACUGGAAUUCUCGGUGUAGCGGUGAAAUGCGUAGAUAUCGAGAGGAACACCUGCGGCGAAGGCGGGUUGCUGGGCUGACACUGACGCUGAGGCGCGAAAGCCAGGGGAGCGAACGGG
rnacentral:rRNA from 1 species